AAUGCGGAGUAGACAACAGGGAUUGCCCCAGUAACGGCGAGUGAAGCGGCAACAGCUCAAAUUUGAAAUCCGGCGCCCCCGCGGCGCCCGAGUUGUAAUUUGCAGAGGAUGCUUUUGGCGCGGCGCCUUCCGAGUUCCCUGGAACGGGACGCCAUAGAGGGUGAGAGCCCCGUCUGGUCGGACGCCUAGCCUCUGUAAAGCUCCUUCGACGAGUCGAGUAGUUUGGGAAUGCUGCUCUAAAUGGGAGGUAUAUGUCUUCUAAAGCUAAAUACCGGCCAGAGACCGAUAGCGCACAAGUAGAGUGAUCGAAAGAUGAAAAGCACUUUGAAAAGAGGGUUAAACAGUACGUGAAAUUGUUGAAAGGGAAGCGCUUGUGACCAGACUCGGGCGUGGCGGAUCAUCCGGCGUUCUCGCCGGUGCACUCCGCCGCGCCCGGGCCAGCAUCAGCUCGCCGCGGGGGACAAAGGCGCCGGGAACGUGGCUCCCCCGGGAGUGUUAUAGCCCGGCGCGCAAUGCCCCGCGGCGGACUGAGGUUCGCGCGUCCGCAAGGAUGCUGGCGUAAUGGUCACCAGUGACCCGUCUUGAAACACGGACCGAGGAGUCGUCCUCGUAUGCGAGUGUUCGGGUGUCAAACCCCUACGCGAAAUGAAAGUGAACGCAGGUGAGAGCCUCACGGCGCAUCAUCGACCGAUCCUGAUGUUCUCGGAUGGAUUUGAGUAAGAGCAUACGGGGCCGGACCCGAAAGAAGGUGAACUAUGCCUGUGUAGGGUGAAGCCAGAGGAAACUCUGGUGGAGGCUCGCAGCGGUUCUGACGUGCAAAUCGAUCGUCAAACAUGGGCAUGGGGGGCGAAAGACUAAUCGAACCUUCUAGUAGCUGGUUUCCGCGACUC
rnacentral:rRNA from 1 species